AGAGAGAGAGAGAGAGAGAGAGAGAGAGAGAGAGAGUUCUUCGCAGCAACUAGAGAAAGGAUCCAAAGGGAUCGCAUUGAUCCUAAUUAAGCUGAUUUAUCACAAACCCCAAAACUUUGCUUUCUUUUCCGGAUCAUGCGAUCUCUUUGGAUUCAUCCUUUGGUAGCUUCUACUUAGGUCAGAGGGUUUUCAUAACCAGAGGCUUCACCGGCAGGAGAUUCUUCGUGGGUCGAUCAAGUUCACAAAACUUUGUUCCUCCUACAAGUAAGUUUCAAAGAUUGAUGAUACAUGCCAAAUAAACAACAACCAUUUUUUUGUAUUUAAAAAAAAAAAUAGACUAGUUUUGUUCCCUUCUUUCUUUCCUAACAUUUUAGUCAUUUGUUAAUUUUUGGCAUUGAUUUGCUUCGUUCUUUUUGUUGUUGUUUUGCAUUGAUUUCCUUGUAAAAAUAAAAGUUUCUUUUUCUUUUUCUUAAUCCUCUAAACAUAUAAUACAUAGCAUUAAAAAUGAUACACCCUGAAUAAUUUUCUUUAUAGAACUAUAUAUGUCAACAGAUUACUGAACUUGAUCUCCAAAUCACAGAUGACGAAGUGCUUGGAUCCAGUAAAUGAGAUCCGGUCCAUUUUAACUUUAUCAUUUGUGUUGAAAUCAAGAUUAGAAAGAUAAUUCAGAAUAUUAGUGUUAACUGUUAACUAUAAUAAGUAUAUAACCAUGAAAAAUGGGUGAAAUACAAUGCUUCCUUUUUCUUGAUUAUUCUUUUCAGAAAAGAAAAAUAAUAUAUAUCCUUUUCUGACUAUAGAGACUAGCUCGUUUUCGAAAAGGAAAAAAAUAAAAUCUAAUAUUUCACAAAUUUUUUAUUAGUUUUAAGAAACGACAACUAUCGUAUCUAUACACUAUGUAGGGAAUAAAAUAAAAAAGCAUUCAAUUGAUUGAUAAAGUAGUACUGUAUAGUGUGCGUACUAUAUAGUUCUACUUCUAUUAUUAUGUCUCUGUUUAAUUUUUCAACCUCCUCCGUCUAAUACAAACUUCUUUGGAAAAAUAGUUUGAAACACUAUCAAAUGCAAAAGAAAAGAAAAAACUAGAUUCCAUUUGGGACAGUGUAAAGAAAGAGAAUAGUGAAGUUUUGGUGUAGUCUAUAAAUUAUAAGGCUACGGUUGCUGUAUUUAAAAUGAAAAUAUUUGUGACCAUUGGUACCAAAUUUUUCUUCUAAUUAUUCGAUGCUUUGUGAAAGUGUAAAAGAGACUUCCAAUACAAUGAUUUGUCUUCCUCUUAUUGGGAAAAAUGCUAACUUUUAACUAUAAAGUAAUUAAUAGAUAAUGAUAUUCACUGUGUUAAAGCCUUCUUUUCUCCACUGAUCCCUAUUAAAAGGAUUUCAGCCACUUAUACUAUUUUUUUUUCCACCAUGGGUCAACCUUUUUUAUUCGAUCUAAGAUCUCGAUCAAUGUCAAAAUGCAUGUAAUACUUUCUUUUUAUUUUUUUUAAUGAAAAAUGUCUAAUGCUUUAUUCUGUUAAAAAAACUAUAGUAUAUUUUCAUUUUAUGUAAAUUUUAUGUUAAUAUAAACAAAACAAAUGCAAGAAAAUACUAAAUACUAACAAAUUCUUAUACGCUUAAAAAAAAAAUCCACACCAACUACUUAUGUCUAGUAGGGAUUAAAAUGCAAACAGCGAAACAUUAAAUUAUGUACAAAAGAUCAAAAAGUAAGAACCUUUUGUUGCAAUCAACAGCAUGGCUAUGAGACAUAACUUGGUAUACAAGAAGCAAAAUGAUGUAGUCGCAUAGUUAGUUAGAAUGUUGUAUAUUCUAAUUAAGUAGUGUUUCUUAUAUAGUGGUUCGGUCACUCUCUACAUUCAAGUUAUGUCGGUUACUCUCUACAUUCGAGUUCAUUGUUACGUCGUUCAAUGUUUUUAUUGCUCUAAAAUACAGAUGUAUCUUCAUUUCUCCAGAUUCCUUGUUUUAGAUGGGUUUACUAAGAAAAUUGUUAGGUGAUGUGAUGGUUAUGAUUCAUGAAUCAUGAUAGAUGUGAGGAUCAAUAUAAUAAAAUUACGAUGUUUAUCACCAUGACACAUCAGCCUUAACUUUUAAGCAUGUGUUGACACCUUAGUAAAAAUUUCUACCCUAUCAAAUUAUAACAAUUAAUACACAUCAGCCUUUUUUUUUAUCUUAGGUGGACAAAUAAUAGUCUUCUUCAUUGUUAAAAUUGAUCGUUCUUCUUCUUCUUUUUAUGAAUUUGUCAAUAGAUUUGAGUACUUAACCUCCGAACAAAAUCAUGGAACAUCUCGAUUACAACUUUUUAUUUUUAACGCGAUUUGGAAUUCUUCUCAAGUUGGAGCGUAAUAUUCAUCUUUCUGAUGAGAAUCAACUUUCUGAUGGGAAUCAAUUCGGCUCGUGAGGAUCUACAAGUCUACCUAGAAUAAUGUUGCGGCGGUGGCGGAUGAAGAAGCUGCGGAGGUUGUGAGUAAAUUAUAACAAGCUUCAUAGCAUCCAUUGGAUCGAGUUGAUUUGUCUGGUCGGAAACUAAAACUCAAGCAUGUGAAAAGUUUCAAGGCUAUGUUUGAUUGCACGGCUCUUGCAAUAUUAAAGAGAGAUCAUUGGUCACAGACAAUAGCAAGAUCAAAGAGCCUUGUGAAGCAGAUGUUGGAACCUGAUCCCACUAAGUGUUCGACUCCUCAGCAAGUUUUUGGUAAUGAAAUGAUUUUUAACUCAUUUUUUCCUUAUUCAGCUUGUUUUUUCUUCUGUUGGGUUUGAAGUUGUGAAACAGAAUGAUAAGCUCCAAAUGUUCUUUUACCCAGAAGAAUCUUGUUAAGUUGUUUGGAUCCAAUUGGUUAUGUCAACAGAGUGUUUUGCAUUUUGAAAAUUUCUUGUUUGGUAUCCGUUAAGCUUCAAUUGUAUCAUAGUAUGAAGAUUCGAACUAUCAAGUUUUAUGGCAUUUUGUUUGACUAACAAGUUUGAUGAAUUCCAUUGUUGUUUUUGUUUUACAGAUAUGAAUGUACAAUGAAAUGUUGCUGAUCUUUCGUUAUACAUACGAAAACCGGUCAUGUUAUUGAAUGAGUAUGUUUAAGCCAACACUCACUCUCUCUUCAAAUCACUGUAUCCUUUUGCAGGAAGAACAACAGGUUCUAGAAGCCAAAAUAAGGAUAUGGUAGAAGGAAAUGCAGGAUGAUGAAGAGAAAAUGCAGAAACGUCUGGAAUCAUGUUCCUCUAGCACACGUGCAAUGACUAGCGAAAUGGAAUAUGGUUCAGCUUCAGGUCGGUUUAUUUGCCUUGCAAGAACGUAUCAGGAACAUCACAAAGGCAGUUUUGACAGACUUCGUUUUUAAAUUAGAGAAAGAAGAGAUGUUGGUACUAAGAUAGCAAUCAUUACUGUAUUUCGCUUCACUAUUAUAUCUGUAAUUUAUUUUUUGUUGCCUUUUUUGUGUAACUUGCUGUGUGCAAUUGUACCUCAGUACCUGUUGAGUUUACAAAUAACCUUCCUCUAUUUAACA